UGCCAUCGCGAGCAAGCUCGCUCCUACAGUUGGGCUGGUUUGCCUGUAGGAGCCAGCGAGCUUGCUCGCGACAAAA
rnacentral:misc_RNA from 1 species